GACGAACGCUGGCGGCGUGCUUAACACAUGCAAGUCGAACGGAAAGGCCCUGCUUUUGUGGGGUGCUCGAGUGGCGAACGGGUGAGUAACACGUGAGUAACCUGCCCUUGACUUUGGGAUAACUUCAGGAAACUGGGGCUAAUACCGGAUAGGAGCUCCUGCUGCAUGGUGGGGGUUGGAAAGUUUCGGCGGUUGGGGAUGGACUCGCGGCUUAUCAGCUUGUUGGUGGGGUAGUGGCUUACCAAGGCUUUGACGGGUAGCCGGCCUGAGAGGGUGACCGGCCCCAUUGGGCCUGGGAUGCGGCCCAGACUCCUCCGGGGGGCAGCAGGGGGGAAUUUUGCACAAUGGGCGGAGCCCUGAUGCAGCAACGCCGCGUGCGGGAUGACGGCCUUCGGUUUGUAAACCGCUUUCGCCUGUGACGAAGCGUGAGUGACGGUAAUGGGGAAAGAAGCCCCGGCUAACUCCGU
rnacentral:rRNA from 1 species